GAUGAACGCUAGCGGCAGGCCUAACACAUGCAAGUCGAGGGGUAACUAGAGUGAUAGCAAUAUUACUUUGGCUAGACCGGCGCACGGGUGCGUAACACGUAUGCAACCUACCUUAUACUGGGGAAUAACUUCGAGAAAUCGGCGCUAAUACCCCAUAACAUUGCGAAGAGGCAUCUCUUUGCAAUUAAAGCUCCGGCGGUAUAAGAUGGUCAUGCGUCCAAGUAGCUAGUUGGUGAGGUAACGGCUCACGAGGGCUACGAUUGAUAGGGGUUCUGAUAGGAUGAUCCCCCACACAGGUACUGAGACAAGGACCAGACUCCUACGGGAGGCAGCAGUGAGGAAUAUUGCGCAAUGGACGAAAGUCUGACGCAGCCAUGCCGCGUGCAGGAUGACGGCCCUAUGGGUUGUAAACUGCUUUUGUACGGGAAUAAACCCUUCUACGUGUAGGAGGCUGAAGGUACCGUAAGAAUAAGCACCGGCUAACUCCGUGCCAGCCGCCGCGGUAA
rnacentral:rRNA from 1 species